CGCACCAUUAAUGCUGAGGCGUGAUGAGGAGUGACUACGGUUGCGAAGUUGUUGAUGCCAAGCUUCCAGGAAAAGCUGCUAAGCAAAUUAUCUAAUAAACCGUACUGAAAACCGACACAGGUGGUCAGGUAGAGAAUACUAAGGCGCUUGAGAGAACUCGGGUGAAGGAACUAGGCAAAAUAGCACCGUAACUUCGGGAGAAGGUGCGCUGGCGUAGUGUGAAGUCUGUACAGAUGGAGCAUGAACCAGUCGAAGAGACCUGCUGGCUGCAACUGUUUAAUAAAAACACAGCACUCUGCAAACACGCAAGUGGACGUAUAGGGUGUGACGCCUGCCCGGUGCUGGAAGGUUAAUUGAUGGUGUCAUCGCAAGAGAAGCACUUGAUCGAAGCCCCAGUAAACGGCGGCCGUAACUAUAACGGUCCUAAGGUAGCGAAAUUCCUUGUCGGGUAAGUUCCGACCUGCACGAAUGGCGUAAUGAUGGCCAGGCUGUCUCCACCCGAGACUCAGUGAAAUUGAAAUCGCCGUGAAGAUGCGGUGUACCCGCGGCUAGACGGAAAGACCCCGUGAACCUUUACUAUAGCUUGACACUGAACCUUGAAUUUUAAUGUGUAGGAUAGGUGGGAGACUGAGAGAGACUGACGCCAGUUGGUAAGGAGUCGAUGUUGAAAUACCACCCUUUAACGUUUGAUGUUCUAACGAGGUACCUGGAACAGGUAUUCGGACAGUGUCUGGUGGGUAGUUUGACUGGGGCGGUCUCCUCCCAAAGAGUAACGGAGGAGUACGAAGGUUUGCUAAUCACGGUCGGACAUCGUGAGGUUAGUACAAUGGUAGAAGCAAGCUUGACUGCGAGACGGACGUGUCGAGCAGGUACGAAAGUAGGUCAUAGUGAUCCGGUGGUUCUGAAUGGAAGGGCCAUCGCUCAACGGAUAAAAGGUACUCCGGGGAUAACAGGCUGAUACCGCCCAAGAGUUCAUAUCGACGGCGGUGUUUGGCACCUCGAUGUCGGCUCAUCACAUCCUGGGGCUGAAGUAGGUCCCAAGGGUAUGGCUGUUCGCCAUUUAAAGUGGUACGCGAGCUGGGUUUAGAACGUCGUGAGACAGUUCGGUCCCUAUCUGCCGUGGGCGAAGGAGAAUUGAGGGGGGCUGCUCCUAGUACGAGAGGACCGGAGUGGACGCACCGCUGGUGUUCCAGUUGUCAUGCCAAUGGCAUUGCUGGGUAGCUAAGUGCGGGAGAGAUAAGUGCUGAAAGCAUCUAAGCACGAAACUUGCCCCGAGAUGAGUUGUCCCAAUCGAGAGAUUGUAAGGGUUGUUGAAGACGACGACGUAGAUAGGUGGG
rfam:Gallibacterium salpingitidis strain F150 contig000067, whole genome shotgun sequence.